CCUACGGGAGGCAGCAGUGGGGAAUAUUGGACAAUGGGGGCAACCCUGAUCCAGCCAUGCCGCGUGUGUGAAGAAGGCCCUCGGGUUGUAAAGCACUUUCAGUGAGGAAGAACGCCUGGUGGUUAAUACCCAUCAGGAAAGACAUCACUCACAGAAGAAGCACCGGCUAACUCCGUGCCAGCAGCCGCGGUAAUACGGAGGGUGCGAGCGUUAAUCGGAAUUACUGGGUGUAAAGCGCGCGUAGGUGGCUUGAUAAGCCGGUUGUGAAAGCCCCGGGCUCAACCUGGGAACGGCAUCCGGAACUGUCAAGCUAGAGUGCAGGUGAGGAAGGUAGAAUUCCCGGUGUAGCGGUGAAAUGCGUAGAGAUCGGGAGGAAUACCAGUGGCGAAGGCGGCCUUCUGGACUGACACUGACACUGAGGUGCGAAAGCGUGGGUAGCAAACAGGAUUAGAUACCCCGGUAGUC
rnacentral:rRNA from 1 species